rnacentral:rRNA from 1 species
CAGUCGCCACGGGAAUACGAAGGGUGCAAGCGUUACUCGGAAUUACUGGGCGUAAAGCGUGCGUAGGUGGUGGUUUAAGUCCGUUGUGAAAGCCCUGGGCUCAACCUGGGAAUUGCAGUGGAUACUGGGUCACUAGAGUGUGGUAGAGGAUAGUGGAAUUUCCGGUGUAGCAGUGAAAUGUGUAGAGAUUGGAAGGAACAUCUGUGGCGAAGGCGACUAUCUGGGCCAACACUGACACUGAGGCACGAAAGCGUGGGGAGCAAACAGGAUUAGAUACCCCGGUAGUCCCUGUCUCUUAUAA